rnacentral:tRNA from 1 species
CCCCCCGUAGCUCAAUGGUAGAGCAGCUGCCUUUUAAGCAGUUGACGGAGGUUCGAUCCCUCCCGGGGGGA